AGUGGCGCACGGGUGAGUAACGCGUGGAUAAUCUACCCUUCAGUUGGGAAUAACUCAUCGAAAGGUGGGCUAAUACCGAAUAAUGCUGUGAGACUUUGGUCGAUCAGCCAAAGAGAGCCUCUGCUUGCAAGCCCUCGCUGAAGGAUGAGUCCGCGUACCAUUAGCUAGUUGGUAGGGUAACGGCCUACCAAGGCGACGAUGGUUAGCUGGUCUGAGAGGAUGAUCAGCCACACUGGAACUGAGACACGGUCCAGACUCCUACGGGAGGCAGCAGUGAGGAAUCUUGCGCAAUGGGGGAAACCCUGACGCAGCAACGCCGCGUGAGUGAGGAAGGUCUUCGGAUCGUAAAGCUCUGUCAGAUGGAAAGAACCGCAUGGGGGCCAAUACCCCUCAUGCCUGACGGUACCAUCAGAGGAAGCACCGGCUAACUCCGUGCCAGCAGCCGCGGUAAUACGGGGGGUGCAAGCGUUGUUCGGAAUUAUUGGGCGUAAAGAGCGUGUAGGCGGCAGGAUGUGUCAGAUGUGAAAGCCCUGAGCUCAACUCAGGAAGUGCAUUUGAAACUGUCCAGCUUGAGUAGGGGAGAGGGAAGUGGAAUUCCUGGUGUAGAGGUGAAAUUCGUAGAUAUCAGGAGGAACACCGGUGGCGAAGGCGACUUCCUGGCCCUAUACUGACGCUGAGACGCGAGAGCGUGGGUAGCAAACAGGAUUAGAUACCCUGGUAGUCCACGCCGUAAACGAUGUUCACUAGGUGUUGGGGGUAUUGACCCCCUCAGUGCCGGAGCUAACGCGUUAA
rnacentral:rRNA from 1 species